rnacentral:rRNA from 1 species
UAGGGAAUCUUCCGCAAUGGGCGAAAGCCUGACGGAGCAACGCCGCGUGAGUGAUGAAGGUCUUCGGAUCGUAAAACUCUGUUAUUAGGGAAGAACAAAUGUGUAAGUAACUAUGCACGUCUUGACGGUACCUAAUCAGAAAGCCACGGCUAACUACGUGCCAGCAGCCGCGGUAAUACGUAGGUGGCAAGCGUUAUCCGGAAUUAUUGGGCGUAAAGCGCGCGUAGGCGGUCAAUUAAGUCUGAUGUGAAAGCCCCCGGCUCAACCGGGGAGGGUCAUUGGAAACUGGUUGACUUGAGUGCAGAAGAGGAGAGUGGAAUUCCAUGUGUAGCGGUGAAAUGCGUAGAUAUAUGGAGGAACACCAGUGGCGAAGGCGACUCUCUGGUCUGUAACUGACGCUGAGGUUCGAAAGCGUGGGUAGCAAACAGG